CUCAACGGCGGGCGGAGGGCAGCGCGGGCGACGGGCCCAACGAACGGCGAGCCCCGAGCACGGCUCCGAAACGCACCGCCCCCCCUCCCCUCAGCCGCAGAGCCAGACCGAGCUAGCGAGCGAGCAUGAAUAAAAAAUUCAUCUGAAAACAUGGAAGGUGGCAGCGCAAUCCUGUGUCUUCCCGAUGUCAGCCCUGUAUGGGAUGGGCCGCUGCUGUGGGCCAGCGGCUGCUGACACUGACCUGCACAUGGCGGCUCUCUGGACAGUUCAGGCCCCACAAGGUGAACCUGACAGGAGCUGAGCCCACACGGCUGCUCGGUCACCCCCAGAGGCAACAGCAGUGCAAGCACACAGACUGGCCCCCCUGAAAACCAAUGCCACCACAUUAACUUUCCAUGGGAAGACCCUGCACUGGUGGCGUGUCCACGGUGAAUGUACCUCAGUCAGUUUGGCAGGCUUCCGAAAGACCAGCAUCUCACCUGAGCUCCUGAGUGAGGUGUUUUGCACGGUUGAUGAACAAAGGCGAGUAUUUCAAGGAAAUUGUUCACUCUGCGUUUCUCGGGGCAGAGUGGAUGACUCUUGAGCUGCCUGCCUGGUUUUCUCUAGAUAGAGAGGAACUUCAGGUAACUGACUUAGACAGCAACCGUGGUCUUGGCUGACUUGUCAAUUUAGGAGCAUCCUGAAGUCCUAUCUUUGUCAUGUGGAGUCGGGAUAACAGUAGAGGGAGUCCCAGAGAGCAGGGAUGAAGGCAAGAAGAUAUGUUUGGAUAUAAGGUGGGAUGGAUGCCUGCCUGUCUUCCUGACAUGGAAACUCCUUCAAGAUCCAGCUUCAUUCUGCCCGUGGGAACCCACCACAGAUCCCUAAUACUUACGUCUGUUUGAAACAGCUCAACUUUACUUCACUGCAUCUGUAUCAUAGCAAGGGUCAUUGGCAAUUAUGACCCUUAUUUACAAUUUUUUCCAUGCCACCAAGAAGCACUUGACCUCAGCAAAGAGACUGCCAAGAAAUCCAGUAUCUGAGACAGCUAAAUAAGAGCUGGAGGAGGCUAUGGCUGUCUGCACAUGAUUAUUUGUGGCUUGAUUAUCAUCUUUGAAAGUUGGUUGAAAACUGGAGAGUCUAGCAGGCCAACCAAAUAAACUGCCAGCUUAGGGGUAUUUCAGUGAGGACUUCCCAAUUACAAGAUACACUUUGGUUUCCUUGCAUAGUGGAGAGUGAACAGCAUGUCCAUUCUGCAGACAGAAGAUCACCAGAGCCUCAAAUUCUCCAGAGACCGUUCUGCAGACAUCUAAAAAAGUCCUUGGCUCACAGUCACCAACUUUGAGUUUUAUCUUAGGAAGCAUCAAUAUGAGCUUUGAGGAUAAUGUCACGGAAUGGAUCCAGACCUGAAGACUUGCCCUUCUGCCCUUCACAAACAGCAAAUAUCUGUCAAUUCUGAGCGUCUGAAGGCUGAGGCACUUCUGCCUUUCCCCAUAAAUACACCUACUAGUGCUUCAACAGAGCAGCAGGCCUCAGCCCUGGUGUCAGCAUGGUUUGGAUUUGCUUAGAUCAAUGCUGCUGCAGAGCCAGAAGAGGGAGCACAGACAUUGUUUUUUUUCUUGGUCGUGCUGUAGACGCAACUUGGAUUAUUUCGCAGAGGAAAAUCAUUAAAUCUAUUUUUAGAGGAGUGGAGAUGAUCGCACUGACUACAGGCAGGUCAGCCACUGCACUUCUGGCAGAAAAAAGCACAAGAGCGACAUGAGCUAAGGCUGUCCCCUCUACUAGAGCAACAAUUUGUGAGGAACGCAUCCUAGCUGUCCUCUGGAAAGGCUUCAAAAUGAACUGCCAGGCAGCACGAGAAACCAUUUUCUCAAGGCAGCUUUAAUUGCUGUUAAAUAGCGCUUCUCUGUCUCAGGUCACUGUAAGCAGCGAUGUCACGGGGAGCUCCUCAAGCCGCAGAACCCAUCGGUCGCUGCUGUGGCUGGAGGCAGGACAAAUGUCAGCACACGUGUUGGCUUGUGAAGCUCUUAAGAGGGCAAAGAGCAGCCCUUCCCACCUCAGCCGGAAGGUCUCCUGAGAAGCUGGAAAUACCUCUGGCUGCUCUUUGGCGCGUGCUUUGGUUUCUCUGCAGUGUCAAGACAGCAGCAGAACUUCCAAAAGUCCAAAGUCACUUGGACAGGCAGCCACUACCCCAAAAAGUACCUGGUGUGCAAAGAACGGAGCUUGACUCUCACUGGUGUCCUAUACAAGAGGGCUCGUCGGCUUUUGCACUCUCAGCAGCCACCCUUGAUCACUUGCAAAAGCUGUGGUCAUACUCAAACAAUGCUUU